rnacentral:rRNA from 1 species
UACAGGGGGGGCAAGCGUUGUUCGGAAUUAUUGGGCGUAAAGGGCUCGUAGGCGGUUUGUCACGUCGGGAGUGAAAACUCGGGGCUCAACCCCGAGCCUGCUUCCGAUACGGGCAGACUAGAGGUAUGCAGGGGAGAAUGGAAUUCCUGGUGUAGCGGUGAAAUGCGCAGAUAUCAGGAGGAACACCGGUGGCGAAGGCGGUUCUCUGGGCAUUACCUGACGCUGAGGAGCGAAAGUGUGGGGAGCGAACAGG